GCUACCACUACGCCAUUGCUAGUAAUGAUCUCGUCAGGUUGCUGCAUCUGCUCAGCAAGUUCAUAAAUGCCCUCCGUGUAAACACCAAAAUCAGCCAUGCAUUCGUCGUUUGUUUCCUCGUCUAAAUCAAAUCUUUCGUAGUUCCAGUACAGAAACUCUGGAUUUGUUGACUUGUGAGCAUCGUAUAAAAAGCAAAUUCUUGUUCGUUGAUAAACUUGUUUCGAUAAGCUUAGGCAUUUUGGUUUCAACUACCUUGUUUUAAUUUACAAUUU